rnacentral:rRNA from 1 species
UAGGGAAUCUUCCGCAAUGGGCGAAAGCCUGACGGAGCAACGCCGCGUGAGUGAUGAAGGUCUUCGGAUCGUAAAACUCUGUUAUUAGGGAAGAACAAAUGUGUAAGUAACUAUGCACGUCUUGACGGUACCUAAUCAGAAAGCCACGGCUAACUACGUGCCAGCAGCCGCGGUAAUACGUAGGUGGCAAGCGAUAUCCGGAAUUAUUGGGCGUAAAGCGCGCGUAGGCGGUUUUUUAAGUCGGAUGUGAAAGCCCACGGCUCAACCGUGGGGGGUCAUUGGAAACUGGAAAACUUGAGUGCAGAAGAGGAAAGUGGAAUUCCAUGUGUAGCGGUGAAAUGAGCAGAGAUAUGGAGGAACACCAGUGGCGAAGGCGACUUUCUGGUCUGUAACUGACGCUGAUGUGCGAAAGCGUGGGGAUCAAACAGG